GGCGGGGCUUUCUCGGGUGACGGUAUCGGGGCGCUGCAGGCCUGGCGCGCUUUGGAGUUUAGAACAGGAUCGGGAGCGCGUGGCCAUGGCAGCCCAAGAUGCGGAUUUGGAGUCGUUGGUAACGGGUUUGUACGACGUGCAGGCUUUUAAAUUUGGGAACUUCGUACUGAAGAGCGGGCUCUCUUCCCCCGUUUACAUCGAUCUGCGCGGCAUCGUGUCUCGACCACGUCUUCUCAGUCAGGUUGCAGAAAUUUUAUUCCAAACUGCCCAAAAUGCGGGAAUCAAUUUUGACACUGUGUGUGGAGUACCUUAUACAGCUUUACCAUUGGCUACAGUUAUCUGUUCAACCAACCAAAUUCCAAUGCUUAUUAGAAGGAAAGAAUCAAAGGAUUAUGGUACUAAGCGUCUUGUAGAAGGGGCGGUUAAUCCAGGAGAAACCUGUUUGAUCAUUGAAGAUGUCGUUACCAGUGGAUCUAGUGUUCUGGAAACUGUUGAGGUUCUUCAGAAGGAGGGUUUGAAGGUCACUGAUGCCAUAGUGCUGCUGGACAGAGAGCAAGGAGGCAAAGACAAGUUGCAGGCACAUGGGAUCCAUCUUCACUCAGUGUGUACAUUGUCCAAAAUGCUGGAGAUUCUCGAGCGACAGAAAAAAAUUGAUGCUGAGAUGGUCGAGAGAGUGAAGAGAUUUAUUCAGGAGAAUGUUUUUGUAGCAGCUAGUCAUAAUGGUUCUCUCCGUUCUGUAAACAAAGCUCCCGCUCCUGGAGAACUCAGCUUUGGUGCACGUGCAGAGCUGCCCAGGGUCCACCCAGUUGCAGCGAAGCUUCUCAGGCUUAUGCAAAAGAAAGAGACUAAUCUGUGUCUGUCUGCAGAUAUUUCAGAGUCUAGAGAGCUGUUGCAGCUAGCUGAUGCUUUAGGACCCAGCAUCUGCAUGCUGAAGACUCAUGUAGAUAUUUUGAAUGAUUUUACUCUGGAUGUGAUGAAGGAGUUAACAACUCUGGCAAAACGCCACGCGUUCUUAAUAUUUGAAGACCGGAAGUUUGCAGAUAUAGGAAAUACAGUAAAAAAACAGUAUGAAGGUGGUAUCUUUAAAAUAGCUUCUUGGGCAGAUCUGGUCAAUGCUCACGUGGUGCCUGGUUCGGGGGUCGUGAGAGGCCUGAGAGAAGUAGGCCUGCCUUUGCACCGGGGGUGCCUGCUCAUUGCAGAAAUGAGCUCUGCUGGCUCCUUGGCUACAGGCAACUACACGACAGCAGCGGUUAAAAUGGCUGAAGAGCAUUCUGAGUUUGUGGUUGGUUUUAUCUCUGGCUCCCGAGUAAGCAUGAAACCAGAAUUUCUUCACUUGACUCCAGGAGUUCAGUUAGAAGCAGGAGGCUAAAAACUCCUUGAGGAUGAGAACUCUUUCUGAAGAUUGCAUAUCCUCCAGCACAAUGCUCCUGUGCUUCAUAAAUGGUCUGUAAAUACUCGUAUAAAUGUUGAAGGAGUGAACAAUACGCUGUAUAAGAACAGUUGAAAGGGUUGGUGUGACUGAGACGAUAAUAUGAGAACGUGAUGAUUGAAGGUAUGAGUUUGGUAAACCUUGGUUUUCUUUUUAAACCCUGACAUACUAGGACUAGUGGAUUCCCGUUAGGUCCUUCAAGGUUAAUUAUUUUAUAUAAUACAACCAUACUUAAGGAAGGUGCCACCUUUUGGGGGUUUGGUGGUUUGUUUUUAAUUGUGUACUUUAAGCAGAAAACAUUAUAGAAAGUUAAUCAGGAAGAAACUCAUAGGCUAAUGAAAAUUCAGGUAAGUGAAUGAAUGGCGGCUGAAUCCGUGGGGUUAACAAGUAUUGGGGGUUUUACAGAUUGUAUUUGCCACAGAGCAGGCUGCAGCAGAAUGACUCACCCAAGUUUGCGACAGCUGCCUUAGUGGUGGACAACUUUGACAUUUUAAUUUUGCACUAAAUGUUUUGAGUCAGAUUUGGAUUUCUGGCCCUUCCAUUUAGCAGCCAUGUAUGUUUGGACAAGUCACUUCACUUCUUCUGGUCUCAUUGUCAAGUGUAAAAUGGGAAUAAUAACAGCGUUGACCUCUUACAGUUGAGAGGCUUACAUGAGAUAGUGAUGUAUAGAAUGCACUUCACCCAGUGCUAUGCUUGUCAACUGUUAAUGUUCAUUAUAAGCCGCCCUAAUUCUUUGACUAAAAAGGAUCUAGGCUUUUAGGAACAUUUAAAGCAUCUUGGAUUUGAAAGAUAAGCCAUUUAGCAGAAGAGUUCAAGAACAACAAAAUUUAAAAAGAAAAAUGUGGGACUCUGGUUCAAGAUGGUGAUGUAGGGAGAUCCUGAACUCCCCUCCUCCCACUAACACACGGAGUCUACAGCUGUGCAUGGAACACUUUCUCUGAAAAAAAUCCUAAUGUCUGGCUGAGCAAGAACUGUGUAUGUGGCAAAUGAGAAGAAAACCACAUCGAAGUGGGUAGGAGAUGCUGGGACUCAGUCUCACCAUAAAGCAAACUUAGGAGGGAAGUCAAAACUUGGAGCAUCUCCCUGAGGAGUGAAGGAGUUGAAUUGCACAUCAGGGGAUAAUCUUGGCCAACAGUAUAAUAGCCCACAAGAAGUUAUUGGCAAACGAGGAUCUGAUAUCAUCAUUGUAGGCCGGGGCAUAAUAAUGUCAUCAAAUCGUCUGGAAG